rnacentral:ncRNA from 1 species
ACGGGGGAUGGGCAAACUCCCCGAAAGGAGAGGGCGCAAAACCACGGGCCUUACCGCCGUGUAACGUUGAACGUUUCACGUGAAACGUUGCACGCAGUUGGUCGCCGGGUUGCCGGU